CGUCAAAAUCGCCGGUCGAUAUAUUCAACUGCUUGAAGGCUUAUAAGUUAUAAACAAUAAACACGAUAACAUUUAACGGCCAUAUAAAUUAAAGUAAAUAUACAAAUUAUGACUAAAAGUUGCAGUUUUCCGUCGCUGUUAAUCGUGGCCAUUUUGUUGUCCGCGUACUGCAUACAACAUUCGGAAGCAGUCUUUGGCAUCCUCACGCCUCCCGAGGGGAAAAGAGGAUUUGAAAGUGAUUUUUUGAGGCGAAAAAUUUCGACGCUCGAAGCGAUACGGCAGAAAUUACAACGAAGGAAUUACUUCGAUGCACUGAUAUCGAAAAUGAAACGUGACCACGGCGAUAAAAUAGACGUCGAAACGUCAUUAUUCAGACAGAAGUGAAUGAAAAUGCGUAGUAAUUGACUGGCAAGGGAAAAUAUCGUAAAUCCGUAAUACUUUCUGUGCAAAUGUACUUUUGCCGGUGUAUUGUUAGCUGUUAAAUUAAAUAUGACUUAUAUACCUUCGAGACUUGUGAUGUCGUAGGACCCUACAAAAAAUGUUCAUUCCGCCAAUAGUAUUACAUUGACCUGAAACAAAAACUACAAAAAAGUAAUAAGAAUAGCAAUGUUAAAGAUUAUUAUUUUGCAGGCAAAUUAUUGAGGCGUAAAAUGUUGUAUUAAUAUUGUGUUCCAAGGGGGGAGUAUCGUCU